UUGCUUUGAUGGAUGGCGACCGGCGCACGGGUGAGUAACACGUAUCCAACCUGCCGACAACACUGGGAUAGCCUUUCGAAAGAAAGAUUAAUACCGGAUGGUAUAGUUUUCCCGCAUGGGAUGAUUAUUAAAGAAUUUCGGUUGUCGAUGGGGAUGCGUUCCAUUAGGCAGUUGGCGGGGUAACGGCCCACCAAACCUACGAUGGAUAGGGGUUCUGAGAGGAAGGUCCCCCACAUUGGAACUGAGACACGGUCCAAACUCCUACGGGAGGCAGCAGUGAGGAAUAUUGGUCAAUGGACGAGAGUCUGAACCAGCCAAGUAGCGUGAAGGAUGACUGCCCUAUGGGUUGUAAACUUCUUUUAUACGGGAAUAAAGUGAGCCACGUGUGGCUUUUUGUAUGUACCGUAUGAAUAAGGAUCGGCUAACUCCGUGCCAGCAGCCGCGGUAAUACGGAGGAUCCGAGCGUUAUCCGGAUUUAUUGGGUUUAAAGGGAGCGUAGGCGGGUUGUUAAGUCAGUUGUGAAAGUUUGCGGCUCAACCGUAAAAUUGCAGUUGAUACUGGCGACCUUGAGUGCAACAGAGGUAGGCGGAAUUCGUGGUGUAGCGGUGAAAUGCUUAGAUAUCACGAAGAACUCCGAUUGCGAAGGCAGCUUACUGGAUUGU
rnacentral:rRNA from 1 species